rnacentral:lncRNA from 1 species
CUCAUUCAUAAAGAAAUGGGAAAGUGUAUCUUAUCAUUACAACCUCUAGUUUAAAAUAAAAUACAACUGAAAUACUCCAGAACAUAUACCAAAAGCAUCAGUGUAAUAAAACAGUGUUAUGUCCAAGAAACAAUAUUCUUUUUCUUCUCCUCCUUGUCCUCGAAACAUACCUAACUACCAUUGUCAUCCACCAUAACUACUUCAUUACCUCUACACAGCAGUCUAUUAAAAAAGGUCAAAAUGCGGAAUCCUCUUCAUUUCUAAGAAGCUAUGUACAAGUCUUUUCAUCAACAGAGUGCAGCUGGGCCUGCACCUUGUGCUUCUUAUUCAGGUACGAAUUGCAAAAAAACCAAAACCAAAAAAUCAGCAUUUAUAUGUUACUGAACACGGUAAUUCAAAAAGUUUAAACAUAGUAUUUCUAGGAAAUGGACAUGCUAAUAAAUCCUCAAGGGGUGGGAGAAAUGUCAGAGGAACAGCCUUCCAAUUCCCAUAUCCGGGGCCAAAAUUACGAACAAGAAAAAGGAGAAAGUAAAUUAACCCUAAAUAUCUGUAAAGCAAAUUAGUCGUUGGGUUGGGUCCACAUAUUUCUUUAAUCUCUAUUUUCUAAAAUGGUAUUGCAAGUGUGACACUCAAAAUGGGACAAAGGGAGUAUAUAUAUGUUAAAACUGAAAAGGGCAAAAACAUUAGGAUUAGUUUAUGUGUAAGUUUUUGAAGUUAAAUGGACAUAAUUAAUGGUCAAAUAGUAUAUGAACUAGAAUAAGUACCAGUGGAAUCAUCCAAUCAAUCACUACCAAAAUCUUCAUAACUCAA